CAAAAGCCAUUAAUAGGCACAGCUAUAGAGAAAUAAUUUUUCUCUAACACAUAUGUUGAACAUGUGAAUGCAAGGCACUGUGACUGUGAGAGAUUCACCAAACAAUGGCCAUUAGGACAGCUAGCUCUGUUGUUGUAAGUGGUGCAGUGAUAUGAUAUCGCACAUUAUGAAUAUAUUGCUUAGCGACAGAUUCCUGGCUCCAAUUACCCUUGGUGAUCAAUAUUAUAAAUAAAACAAGAAGUUGGCAUGCCCAAUACAUAUUUGUUCAAUAGUUACACUUUGGGGAAAUAAGGCUACUGAAGAUCAAGACAAUUGGGGCAUUUACAGAUAUCUUAAUCAUAUGCACAGUCCAGCCAAUGAAUGAACUCAAGGACCCUGAUGAUGGACAAGCUCACAGAAAUCUAAGCAAGACCUCAUGACUUCUUUGCCAUUAUUCUUAUGGAAUGGGAGAAAGAUGGAAAAAGAAGAAGUGAACAGAACAUCGGAUUAGAUUCUCUCUAUAUCUCUUCCAAAAUACUGUAUCAUCUAUUAGGAAUUAUACUGUGAGAGAGAAAGUCUAAAAAAGCAAUUAAGGGACCUCAGUCUAAAGGACACUAACCCAGGCAGGUUUUAAAUGGCAUUAUAUAGAAGCAUUCCUUUUGCCUUCAGAAGAUUGAGCAAGAUGGGAAUGAAAAGAAUCUGGCAACAAUUAAAGUGCACUUCACCACCCACUGCAAGCAUUCUGUCACACGGUGGAUUGAGUGAACCAUCAGAUUGUGUAACUUGCCUGUUUUUAAUCAUGUACAUGCUACGGGAAUAAAUAUAAUAACAAAA